rnacentral:lncRNA from 1 species
CUCCUUUCAGGGAUACCCACGUUGGGAAAAAUACAGUGGCAAUUAAAUUAAGGCUUCCCUAUAUGGGUGCACUUAGGAACUAGGCAAGCUGAUUUAUGAUAACUAAAUUUUAAACUCCAACAACCAGUAAGUCUCCCAGUGGGUUUAUUUUAGAUUCUUUCACGUUACUUUGUUAGGUCCAGAUGAUGAGGGAAUGAGCUUUA